AUUGAACGCUGGCGGCAUGCCUUACACAUGCAAGUCGAACGGCAGCACGGGGCAACCUGGUGGCGAGUGGCGAACGGGUGAGUAAUGCAUCGGAACGUGCCAUUGAGUGGGGGAUAACGUAGCGAAAGUUGCGCUAAUACCGCAUAUUCUGUGAGCAGGAAAGCAGGGGACCGCAAGGCCUUGCGCUCUUUGAGCGGCCGAUGUCAGAUUAGCUAGUUGGUGAGGUAACGGCUUACCAAGGCGACGAUCUGUAGCGGGCCUGAGAGGAUGAUCCGCCACACUGGAACUGAGACACGGUCCAGACUCCUACGGGAGGCAGCAGUGGGGAAUUUUGGACAAUGGGCGCAAGCCUGAUCCAGCCAUGCCGCGUGAGUGAAGAAGGCC
rnacentral:rRNA from 1 species